GGCGCUGGCGCUGUCCAUGGCUGCACGGCGCGCGAAGCCCCCGAGCGGGCCAUGCCCGGAGCCGCCCGCGCUGCGCCCACGUGUCCCAGGAUUCCUCCAAGAAAAGAUCCCACCAUUCCUGGAAAUCUUUGUUCCUUUAAGAAUGUGCAUAGAUAUUUGGAAGAACAAAGUUCUCAUUUAGUAGGAGAGUAGUUCAAACACCUGCAACCAUGGAGCAAGUGGUGCAACAGCAUUUCCUCAUCAUACAUCAAGCUAAAAUAGAAUCUCUCAUUUGAGCAGGAGCUACUAGCUGAAGUAAGUUAAUCAACAUCAAAAUGCUCUUGUAAUUAGUCUAAUCCAUUGUUUGUUAUAUUCAUUUUUGUUAUUACACAGGUCAUUAACACUGUCAGCAGAUAUAAUGUGAUGCUGCAGGAUAGCACAUUCAAUAAAUUAGUUCUACAAAAUUUGAGAUGGCUUUCUUCAAGGUUUAAUAUCCUUUAUAAAAUAAAGGCAUAGGGCUAUGGAUUCACACCUCUCUUCCAGAAUGACUCUCAAUAAUAGGUUCCCCCUUCCCAAACCAAAUUACUACAGCAUUUUAGGCAAGAACACACAUUAAAGAAAAGUUACAGUGAACUGACUUAAUUAAAAAAAAACAAAUAGAUGUGAUGUGCAUAAACCUGUUACUGGUCAGAUGAUUUAAGUUUGAUAAAAUGUUUUACAUUGCUUUUACUCACCUACUAUGGGAAAAGUAGUGUGAGUGACUGGAGCUCUACACUUAAGCCUGUCCCUACAUCAAAACCAGGGGUGGAAUUUAAAAUGAGAGGAAGAGGAAUAAGUAGAGAACCAGAGAAGAAGGGCUCCACUUGAAGAGGCAGAAAGACAUGUACCCAGACUGUCAGCUCUGUGAUAUCAAGGGAAUUGGCCUGGCAGAGAGGGAAGAACAGUUUGCUUCCCUGCAGAGUGGGCAAAAGCUGGACCCUCCAAAACUGCAGAUGUCCCGAGAUGCUGGAAAACCUUGUGUAUGGUGGGGAUAAAGGGAAGGCAGGGCAGAAGUGUGUUUUCCCAUCACUUUGCUUGCUUUUCCAUUUCUGCCCAGCCCAACUCAUGUUUGCUUCAUGCAAAUGGAUCCAGACCAUGCCAUGACAAGACAUGCAAAACCUGAUAAUGCAAAACUCCACCACCCCACAACAGAGCUUACAGCUGCACCUCCAGAAAUGUAAUAUAUCUCACCCUAUGCACCAAAUGUCCUGACGGAAAAUAUGCAGGAGAGGCCAAACAACAACUGUGCACCAGGAUGAACACACACGGGAAAUCCUUCAAAGACAAGAAUACACAAUUACCUGUGGGGGCACAUUUGUCAAAAGAAAACCACUCUCUCUUCAAUCUCUCAGUCUAAUCCUCAAAGCAAACUUACAAAACACUUCUCAGAGAUGAGCCUAUGAACUCCACUUCAUCAACCUCCUGGAUACUAAAAAUCAUGGACUAAAUAUAGACAUUGGAUUUAUGACACAUUAUAACCUGCCUGACAUCUGACUCCCCAAGUACCUCUCCACUAUUCAUCCCCCUUCUCCCCCCCCCACCCAGCCUGUCUCUCACCCACUGACUCCUCAAUUUACAUCUUCUCUGACUGCCUGUCUUGAAUGCAUACCAGCCCAGCUUCUGGCUUCUUUACUUUUCAUUCCAUCCAGGAAGAGCACACGCCAACUGCAGAAACUUUCUUAGCCUGACGAAGGGUUUUUAAACCCAAAAGUUUGCUUAAAAUUGUUUUCCAACUAUUUAAGGUGGUUUAAUAAAAUAUAUCAGAUUCACCCAA